rnacentral:rRNA from 1 species
AUUGAACGCUGGCGGCAUGCCUUACACAUGCAAGUCGAACGGUAACAGGUCUUCGGAUGCUGACGAGUGGCGAACGGGUGAGUAAUACAUCGGAACGUGCCUAGUAGUGGGGGAUAACUACUCGAAAGAGUGGCUAAUACCGCAUGAGAUCUACGGAUGAAAGCAGGGGAUCGCAAGACCUUGCGCUACUAGAGCGGCCGAUGGCAGAUUAGGUAGUUGGUGGGAUAAAAGCUUACCAAGCCGACGAUCUGUAGCUGGUCUGAGAGGACGAUCAGCCACACUGGGACUGAGACACGGCCCAGACUCCUACGGGAGGCAGCAGUGGGGAAUUUUGGACAAUGGGCGCAAGCCUGAUCCAGCAAUGCCGCGUGCAGGAUGAAGGCCUUCGGGUUGUAAACUGCUUUUGUACGGAACGAAAAGCCCUGGGUUAAUACCCUGGGGUCAUGACGGUACCGUAAGAACAAGCACCGGCUAACUACGUGCCAGCCGCCGCCGUAAGAC